UGGCGACCAUAGCAAUGUGGAACCACCUGAUCCCAUUCCGAACUCAGACGUGAAACGCAUUAGCGCCGAUGGUAGUGUGAGGUCUCCUCAUGCGAGAGUAGGACAUCGCCA
rnacentral:rRNA from 1 species